rnacentral:rRNA from 1 species
CGCUUAGAAGUGAGAAUGCCGGUAUGAGUAGCGAAAGAGGGGUGAGAAUCCCCUCCGCCGAAAGCCUAAGGUUUCCUGAGGAAGGCUCGUCCGCUCAGGGUUAGUCGGGACCUAAGCCGAGGCCGAAAGGCGUAGGUGAUGGACAACAGGUUGAUAUUCCUGUACCACCUCCUCACCGUUUGAGCAAUGGGGGGACGCAGGAGGAUAGGGUAAGCGCGCGGCUGGAUGUGCGCGUCCAAGCAGUUAGGGCUGGCAAGCAGGCAAAUCCGCUUGCCGUGUGCUUGAGCUGUGAUGGCGAGGGAAAGGAAGUACCGAAGUUCCCGAUUCCACACUGCCAAGAAAAGCCUCUAGCGAGGUGAGAGGUGCCCGUACCGCAAACCGACACAGGUAGGCGAGGAGAGAAUCCUAAGGUGAGCGAGAGAACUCUCGUUAAGGAACUCGGCAAAAUGACCCCGUAACUUCGGGAGAAGGGGUGCUCAUCAAGGUGAUAAGCCAUGAUGAGCCGCAGUGAAAAGGCCCAGGCGACUGUU